rnacentral:rRNA from 1 species
UACGUAGGCAGCAAGCGUUGUUCGGAGUUACUGGGCGUAAAGGGCGCGUAGGCGGUUCAUACAGUCAGGCGUGAAAUUCCUGGGCUCAACCUGGGGGCUGCGCUUGCGACGUAUGGGCUGGAGUGCGGAAGAGGGUCGUGGAAUUCCCAGUGUAGAGGUGAAAUUCGUAGAUAUUGGGAAGAACACCGGUGGCGAAGGCGGCGACCUGGUCCGUGACUGACGCUGAGGCGCGAAAGCGUGGGGAGCAAACAGG